rnacentral:rRNA from 1 species
AUGUCGGAAGAAAUGACAAUGUUGGGACGAGCCGGUGUAGCUGGAGAUUCGUCGCACCCUCGACAUCAAGAGAUCUCUAUCGACCGUGGUCCGCAAACAUCGAUUGAUGAGUUGUUGAAGGUAAUAAAAGGAGCCAAUGGCAUGCCGGUGCUGUUUGUCCCCUCCAGUGACGGCCGGCUGGUGGCAGUAGCCGUAGACGGCGUUCAGAGUUUGAUGCCGGCCAAUGGCGACGGGAGCGAGUCUUAUGAGAAGAGGGAGCAUCAUUUCCGUUCAUGGUUAUUGCUCCUGACGUCACUUGUUGCCACCGUCACCUUCACCGCAGGGAUUACUCCACCCGGUGGUUUCUGGGCGGACGACAGCAACGGGCACGUCGCUGGUACCCCAAUUAUGCGAGACAAAUUUCGCAGGAGGUACUUCUUCUUUCAGUACUUCAACACAUGCGCCUUCUUCACGUCCUUGAUGAUCAUCGCGUCGCUCGCCUGGAACAGGAAUAACAAGAAGAUCAUGACUAUUCCUUUCGUAUGCCUUGUAGUAAUUUGUUUUCUGUGCCUGGGAUCUAGCUUUAUCAUCGGCACGUGGAACAGCAACCGUAGCCCCUUACAACUAGCGACUGUCGUUUUCAUCCUUGCCCUUAACAUUGUCUACCUGACGUGCCAUCACAUUACGGAAAAGUGUUCUGGUACGCUUCGGGGAUCCUCCUAA